rnacentral:tRNA from 1 species
CAGGGUAUAGUUUUAAAAAAAUAUUAAUUUUGGAGAUUAGUGAUAAGGAUAAAAUUCUUUUUCCCUGA